rnacentral:rRNA from 1 species
CAGUUGGGCACUCUAGCGAGACUGCCGGUAAUAAAACCGGAGGAAGGUGGGGAUGACGUCAAAUCAUCAUGCCCCUUAUGACCUGGGCUACACACGUGCUACAAUGGUUGGUACAACGAGUUGCGAGUCGGUGACGGCGAGCUAAUCCCUUAAAGCCAAUCUCAGUUCGGAUUGUAGGCUGCAACUCGCCUACAUGAAGUCGGAAUCGCUAGUAAUCGCGGAUCAGCACGCCGCGGUGAAUACGUUCCCGGGCCUU